rnacentral:misc_RNA from 1 species
GGCCAGUGUUGCGUAUUAUUUUGCAACACGACCAGUACCGGAACAACCAUUAGUGCCUCUGGAAAACCAAUCCCCAUUGUUAGAGGCAUCGUGCUUCGAAUCACAAUAAAUAUGCAGAAAUUAAUAGAGACCCACUUUGAACCAGCUGAAACCACUUUACAAACAGUUUCAUUGAAUUGGAUUGAAUCAUCUGCCUUCGAUUAUAAUCCCUAAUUCUGAAUACCCCAUCAAGUGUCAAACCAACUGCUCCACCUUUUCAUGUACCCCCGAGUCCCCCCAUGAGAAUUCACAAAAAUAACAAACAAUGAGAUGGCUACAACCAACAAAACAAUAAGGAAAUGUCAAACUUUUGACGAGACAGGGCCAACCUGUCUGCCUCCGAGCACACGUAUGCACAUACUCGCAUGCAAAUCUUCAGAAUAGAUUGUACGUGUGUGGGGACAGCAGGGGAAUGAGGGGGCUUGCGCACACACACAGCCGGCCAUUUUCACUUGCACUGACCGUUUUCCAAUACGAGACGGACCAUUAAAAAUUCAAAAGAGUGCAAAUUGAGGUGUAAAUCGAGGGGAUGUGCGUGUGAGCAAAUUGGAUUUGCAGGCACAGGUUAUAUAGUAUUUACUCAUAAUUGAGUGCGUGCUGAUUAAACCCAAAAUUAUAUUGUACAUUUUUGGGGGCUGUCGACUUUUUGUUCCACUCAUGGGCUAGAAUGGGCUCCAGUGUUGUGGACCAUAAAUCAUAUACAUACAUACUCGUACAUGUGUAUGUAAGUUUUGAUGAGUAUUUGCCGUCACCAAAAACGCCCCCACCUUUGGCCCAUUAGCAACAGACCACGUCACAUGCCGCCUUAGAUCGCGUGCACCAGAAACAGGCAGAGCAGGGCUGGGCAAGGGAGGGCGGGGGCAGCAGGCAGGAAGACAGGCGGACAGCUUGAUCAAGCCAAAAAGGAAAAACUACAAGACAACUACAAAGCAACAACAACAACGACAACGACAACGAAGAGACUAUGAAAAACCGUUUACGAGUAAAAUCAAAAUCAAAAUCCAAUGAAUAUAAACGAAUGAAAUUCCUAGGCGAACGCUGCAUUCUUCUUCACAGUACCCCCAUCUCCGGCGCCCCAUCUCUCUUUCUCUUUUCGCCACUUCGCUCCCUCUCCCUCUCUCUCUUUUCUGUUUCGGUUGAUACCAAAUUGAAGAAGAUUCUGCGGGCGGGCCAAAAUAAUUUUUAGCCGCGGCCAAUAUUUCGGCCUGCCUCCUUCGGCCAUUCAGUUCGAAAUUAAGCAUCGUGUCGCGCAGAUCGUGGCGGAUCAACGGAAUAUACAUAUGUGCAUAUAUUUCAGAAAAGAAGAUUUUGAGAAAAAACAGAAAAAUAACGAAACGGAAAACAACAAAAGCAGAUAGUAUAUAUCUGUGAAAUAAACUUGCUCGUAAGAUGUGCAUAUUAAAGGCUGAUCCAUAAGACCCAGCCAGAACAGUGGUGCCUGAAAACGGAGCAGAAGUCAAAUCAGUAAGACCGUGAACAAACCGUGAACCGUGAGACUCAGACAGCCGUGAGAUCCACAACAAAACAUGUCUUGUUGCGGUCAAAUCACCAGCAUACGGGUGCCCAUCGAGCUGAGCAAUCAGAGCGAUGUGCUCAAGGUAAUCCUCAAGAAUCCUCAAGGAAGAGUCCCCCCAAAGUCCCCCUAAACAAAAAAAAACAAACUAAAAGACCAAAGAAUAUCUCUAACCCAGCAGCUUGACUAUGCAAUCCACUAAUAAAUACUUUAUUUUUUGCUUC